UGGGGAAUAUUGCACAAUGGAGGAAACUCUGAUGCAGCGACGCCGCGUGGAGGAAGAAGGUUUUCGGAUCGUAAACUCCUGUUGUCGGGGACGAUAAUGACGGUACCCGACAAGAAAGUGACGGCUAACUACGUGCCAGCAGCCGCGGUAAAACGUAGGUCACAAGCGUUGUCCGGAAUUACUGGGUGUAAAGGGAGCGCAGGCGGGGAGAUAAGUUGGGAGUGAAAACUAUGGGCUCAACCCAUAAAUUGCUUUCAAAACUAUCUUUCUUGAGUAGUGCAGAGGUAGGCGGAAUUCCCGGUGUAGCGGUGGAAUGCGUAGAUAUCGGGAGGAACACCAGUGGCGAAGGCGGCCUACUGGGCACCAACUGACGCUGAGGCUCGAAAGUAUGGGUAGCAAA
rnacentral:rRNA from 1 species